rnacentral:rRNA from 1 species
AUGAUGGUGACUUAAACCCUCACCAGAGUACCAAUUGGAGGGCAAGUCUGGUGCCAGCAGCCGCGGUAAUUCCAGCUCCAAUAGCGUAUAUUAAACUUGUUGCAGUUAAAAAGCUCGUAGUUGAAUUUCAGCGUUUCGCGUGUGCCUCUUUUGGCCCAUCUCGUCUCGCUUUUUUUAUUACUUUGAGAAAAUUAGAGUGUUUCAAGCAGGCUUUUGUCUUGAAUACUUGAGCAUGGAAUAAUAGAGUAGGACCUUGGUUCUAUUUUGUUGGUUUUGUUACCUUGGUAAUGGUUAAUAGGAACGGUUGGGGGCAUUCGUAUUUAACUGUCAGAGGUGAAAUUCCUAGAUUUGUUAAA